AGAGUUUGAUCAUGGCUCAGAUUGAACGCUGGCGGAAUGCUUUACACAUGCAAGUCGAACGGCAGCACGGGUGCUUGCACCUGGUGGCGAGUGGCGAACGGGUGAGUAAUGCGUCGGAACGUACCGAGUAAUGGGGGAUAACGCAGCGAAAGUUGUGCUAAUACCGCAUACGCCCUGAGGGGGAAAGUGGGGGAUCGUAAGACCUCACGUUAUUCGAGCGGCCGACGUCUGAUUAGCUAGUUGGUGAGGUAAUGGCUCACCAAGGCGACGAUCAGUAGCGGGUCUGAGAGGAUGAUCCGCCACACUGGGACUGAGACACGGCCCAGACUCCUACGGGAGGCAGCAGUGGGGAAUUUUGGACAAUGGGGGCAACCCUGAUCCAGCCAUUCCGCGUGAGUGAAGAAGGCCUUCGGGUUGUAAAGCUCUUUCAGCAGAAACGAAACGGUACGCUCUAACAUAGUGUGCUAAUGACGGUACCUGCAGAAGAAGCACCGGCUAACUACGUGCCAGCAGCCGCGGUAAUACGUAGGGUGCGAGCGUUAAUCGGAAUUACUGGGCGUAAAGCGUGCGCAGGCGGAUUGUUAAGCAAGAUGUGAAAUCCCCGGGCUUAACCUGGGAAUGGCAUUUUGAACUGGCAGUCUAGAGUGUGUCAGAGGGGGGUGGAAUUCCACGUGUAGCAGUGAAAUGCGUAGAGAUGUGGAGGAACACCGAUGGCGAAGGCAGCCCCCUGGGAUAACACUGACGCUCAUGUACGAAAGCGUGGGU
rnacentral:rRNA from 1 species